CUCACUGGGGAUCUUGUUAAAAUGCAGAUUCUAAUUCAGUGGGUCUGGAGUGGAAUCUGAGAUCCUGCAUUUCUAACAAGUCUCAGGUGAUGCCAG
rnacentral:pre_miRNA from 1 species